rnacentral:rRNA from 1 species
AUCGAACGCUGGCGGCAGGCCUAACACAUGCAAGUCGAACGAGUGGCGGACGGGUGAGUAAUGUCUGGGAAACUGCCUGAUGGAGGGGGAUAACUACUGGAAACGGUAGCUAAUACCGCAUACCAUCAGAUGUGCCCAGAUGGGAUUAGCUUGUUGGUGGGGUAACGGCGGACAACGCCGACGAUCCCUAGCUGGUCUGAGAGGAUGACCAGCCACACUGGAACGGAGACACGGUCCAGACUCCUACGGGAGGCAGCAGUGGGGAAUAUUGGACAAUGGGCGCAAUCCUGAUGCAGCCAUGCCGCGGGUAUGAAGAAGGCCUUCGGGUUGUAAAGUACGUUCAGCGGGGAGGCGUUACCCGCAGAAGAAGCACCGGCUAACUCCGUGCCAGCAGCCGCGGUAAUAC